UUGACGUUACCCGCAGAAGAAGCACCGGCUAACUCCGUGCCAGCAGCCGCGGUAAUACGGAGGGUGCAAGCGUUAAUCGGAAUUACUGGGCGUAAAGCGCACGCAGGCGGUUUGUUAAGUCAGAUGUGAAAUCCCCGGGCUCAACCUGGGAACUGCAUCUGAUACUGGCAAGCUUGAGUCUCGUAGAGGGGGGUAGAAUUCCAGGUGUAGCGGUGAAAUGCGUAGAGAUCUGGAGGAAUACCGGUGGCGAAGGCGGCCCCCUGGACGAAGACUGACGCUCAGGUGCGAAAGCGUGGGGAGCAAACAGG
rnacentral:rRNA from 1 species